AUCUUUCUCACAAACGGAAGGAUGCCUAUGCAUUUCUAUAUAAUGAAAUUGGUUGAGAAGGAUCACUACCAAGGGAGCAACCGAGUUGUGGAUCUUCGUCGUCGCAUCGGCGGUUCCCUCAAUCGUCGCUGUGCGCACUUCGUUACGAUGUUUACAAAUGAUACAAAUGAUGAUGAAAAAUUCUCGAUACUGAAUAAUGGUGUUUACUUUCGGUCAGUUGGUUCACCUCAAAAAUUCAACGGACCUUUACUACUUACUCGUGUUCUUCCAUAUUUUUGUGUCAUAUGAUCGCGUGACGUAUCAUCAGAAGGCCACAAACGUUCGGCGGAAAGUAUUCCAUGCUCAUCAGACAAUAAACAUUAGCACGUGUAUUUUCGUUAACUUUUGCUCUCGAAAACUUUGGAAAACGAAUAUACCAAAAUUGAUAGAUUUUUUUUCUAGUAUAUUGUAUUCUCAAUACUUUCUGAUGGAGACAGUUACAAGGUUGUUUACGAAAAAUUCGAUGAGAGGCCCAAUCAUUAAAUUUUUCAUAUUUCUUUCAUAUAUACAAAAGUGGUUCUUUUUUUAUACAAUAUAUUUCGUGCGGAGUAAAUUUUGUUUAUUUGUAUACGAAUUGAGAAAAUAAAAAUACUGAAUUUUUACACA